CCUGACUGCUAUCGGAUUGAUACUACGCCAUGCGAGUCUUUGUAGUAAUACAAGGCAGACGGCUCAGUAACACGUAGUCAACCUACCCUAUGGACAAGAAUAAUCUCGGGAAACUGGGCAUAAUUCUUGAUAGAUCAUAAUGCCUGGAAUGGUUUAUGGUUAAAAUGAUUCGUCGCCAUAGGAUGGGACUGCGGCCUAUCAGCUUGUUGGUGAGGUAAUGGCCCACCAAGGCGAUUACAGGUACGGGCUCUGAGAGGAGAAGCCCGGAGAUGGGUACUGAGACACGGACCCAGGCCCUAUGGGGCGCAGCAGGCGAGAAAACUUUGCAAUGUGCGAAAGCACGACAAGGUUAAUCCGAGUGAUUUCUGCUAAAGAAAUCUUUUGCAAGUCAUAAAACCACUAGUGAAUAAGGGGUGGGCAAGUUCUGGUGUCAGCCGCCGCGGUAAAACCAGCACCUCAAGUGGUCAGGAGGAUUAUUGGGCCUAAAGCAUCCGUAGCCGGCUCUGUAAGUUUUCGGUUAAAUCCAUGUGCUCAACGCAUGGGCUGCCGAAAAUACUGCAUAGCUAGGGAGUGGGAGAGGUAGACGGUACUCGGUAGGAAGGGGUAAAAUCCUUUGAUCUAUCGAUGACCACCUGUGGCGAAGGCGGUCUACCAGAACACGUUCGACGGUGAGGGAUGAAAGCUGGGGGAGCAAACCGGAUUAGAUACCCGGGUAGUCCCAGCUGUAAACGAUGCAGACUCGAUGAUGCAUUGGCAUAUAGCCAGUGCAGUGUCGCAGGGAAGCCGUUAAGUCUGCCGCCUGGGAAGUACGUACGCAAGUAUGAAACUUAAAGGAAUUGGCGGGGGAGCACCACAAGGGGUGAAGCCUGCGGUUC
rnacentral:rRNA from 1 species